AUGGGAGGCUUGACAAAGAUCUGUUUUUCAAAUGCAAAGAAGACUGGCGUGGAGAGAGUUAAAUCUGGUGUGCAGAGAGUUAAAUCUGGAAGGAAUUCAGAAAAAAAAAGUAAGACCGGAGUGGAGAGAGUUAAAUCCGGAAGGAAUUCACUGCAAACUCAUGGAAGCCGGUUCAUGUUAUUAUUAUGGCUCUGGUGGGGGAGCGCAACAAAUGGAGGGAAGAAGGCACAAGACGGACAGCGUCAGAGAUUGCCUGCCUACAUCUCGACAUCUCUGGCUGACCGGUUUCAGAAAACAGAUGGUGCGGCCGGCGUGUUGUCGGAUAGGCGUCAGAAACAGAGAUGGAGAUGGCUGCAGGCUAGCUUAAUACCCUGA
rnacentral:rRNA from 1 species